GUAGCUCAGUGGAUAGAGCGCUGGCCUCCGGAGCCAGGCGCGGUGGUUCGAUUCCACCCAG
rnacentral:tRNA from 1 species